rnacentral:rRNA from 1 species
UCCGUAGGGUGCGAGCGUUGUCCGGAAUUAUUGGGCGUAAAGAGCUCGUAGGCGGUUUGUUGCGUCGACUGUGAAAACCUGGGGCUUAACUCUGGGCUUGCAGUCGAUACGGGCAGACUUGAGUUCGGUAGGGGAGACUGGAAUUCCUGGUGUAGCGGUGAAAUGCGCAGAUAUCUGGAGGAACACCGGUGGCGAAGGCGGCAUCCUGGACCAAUUCUGACGCUGAGGAGCGAAAGCCAGGGGAGCAAACAGG